AGAUCAUCCAGGACUUGGCCUCCAUGGUCCGGGAACUUCUUAUUCAAUUUUAUAAGUCAACUCGGUUCAAGCCUACUCGUAUCAUCUUUUAUCGGGAUGGUGUUUCAGAGGGGCAGUUUAGGCAGGUAUUAUAUUAUGAACUACUAGCAAUUCGAGAAGCCUGCAUCAGUUUGGAGAAAGACUAUCAACCUGGAAUAACCUACAUUGUAGUUCAGAAGAGACAUCACACUCGAUUAUUUUGUGCUGAUAGGACAGAAAGGGUUGGAAGAAGUGGCAAUAUCCCAGCUGGAACAACAGUUGAUACAGACAUUACACACCCAUAUGAGUUCGAUUUUUACCUCUGUAGCCAUGCUGGAAUACAGGGUACCAGUCGUCCUUCACACUAUCAUGUUUUAUGGGAUGAUAACUGCUUUACUGCAGAUGAACUUCAGCUGCUAACUUACCAGCUCUGCCACACUUACGUACGCUGUACACGAUCUGUUUCUAUACCUGCACCAGCGUAUUAUGCUCACCUGGUAGCAUUUAGAGCCAGAUAUCAUCUUGUGGACAAAGAACAUGACAGUGCUGAAGGAAGUCACGUUUCAGGACAAAGCAAUGGGCGAGAUCCACAAGCUCUUGCCAAGGCUGUACAGAUUCACCAAGAUACCUUACGCACAAUGUACUUCGCUUAAAUAGUCCAAGUAUAUUCUCUGAGAGGAAGUACUGAAAGAUGAAUUGACAUACAACGUAUGUUUCCAGUGAAGUCAAUUGAGUAAGGACACCUCCAGCCAUACAGAAACCAACACUGUGUGGGGGCCAAGGUCUGAUCCUUAUGUUAAUACAAGGAAGAUUGUUUACUUCAUCAAGGAACACAGCAUCAUUAUGCAAUAUGAAACCAGCCAACUGCUUUUUGUGCGGUCUCCUAUAGGAAGUAUCGCAAUUGUUUUGUUUUCAUUUCUUGUAGUCUAACCCUUUUAAUGCCUUUACCUCAAGUUGCUUGGCAGCACAACUAUCUUUGCAAAAAAAAGUAAAGAAAAAGUAAAUGAUGGUUUAAAAAAUACACACCUUCAUGAAUAAUCAAAGUGAUUUUUCAGAAUUAUGUGUGCAAAAAAUUAAUGUGCAUUCAUAUAUUCUUGUAAAAGGUGUCUGUGUAUUUUUAAAAUAUAUACAUCCAUACUUCAUAUGCAUAUAUAUCUAGAUCUGGAUUGAUAAUAGAUAUAUAUGUGUCUGUUAUAUAUUUUAGAGUUCAUUCCAUUGGGGAAUUUUCUUUCCCUU
rnacentral:lncRNA from 1 species